rnacentral:rRNA from 1 species
ACUCAAAUGAAUUGACGGGGGCCCGCACAAGCAGCGGAGCAUGUUGCUUAAUUCGAGGCAACGCGAAGAACCUUACCUGGGCUUGACAUGUAGAGAAAAGCCGUAGAGAUACGGUGUCCUUCGGGGUUCUACACAGGUGGUGCAUGGUUGUCGUCAGCUCGUGUCGUGAGAUGUUGGGUUAAGUCCCGCAACGAGCGCAACCCUUGUCCUAUGUUGCCAGCGGGUAAUGCCGGGGACUCGUAGGAGACUGCCGGGGUCAACUCGGAGGAAGGUGGGGACGACGUCAAAUCAUCAUGCCCCUUAUGUCCAGGGCUGCAAACAUGCUACAAUGGCCAGUACAAAGGGCUGCGAAACCGUGAGGUGGAGCGAAUCCCAUAAAGCUGGUCUCAGUUCGGAUUGGAGUCUGCAACUCGACUCCAUGAAGCUGGAGUUGCUAGUAAUCCCGGAUCAGCAACGCCGGGGUGAAUACGUUCCCGGGCCUUGCACACACCGCCCGU